AGAGCAACCAACAAGGCAAGCCUCAGAUCUCACUCACUCACUCAACCACCCUCACAAAUGCUUUUUGUUUGAUUGUUUGUUUGUUUUUCUUUUCUUUGCUUUUCUGUUUGUGUGCAGAACUGUGUCCAUGGAGCUGGGCUGCAAACGGCACCGCAACGGCAGCUUGAAGGAAUCCCAAACCACAGCCAUGACUAUGGCCUAGUUAAGAAUCUGGAGCACUGGGUCCCAUGUGUAGAGAGGCCUGGAAGAAGAGACCCACCUGGAUUUAGAAUGUCGCCAAUGGGUGUGAGCGCAACCAACACUACAGUGGAGUAAAAACCAUGAGAGUUGGAUGGUUGUGCAAUCGUUAUUACAAUCUAGCUCUGAUAUGUAACGUGAUGUUUAGACAAGUAAUUCUGGACUACCCUGUUUGUGAUUCGAGAAGGAGUUUCUGAGUGAGUCUGGAACUCUUCCCUUGUACAUGUCCACAAAUUAGAAUGAGGGUUUCACAAGCGUUAUCUUUUUACUUAGAUCCGCCUCUAGGUGGCCGAAUGUAUUUGUUGGCCGCAACCAGUGAGACAAGUCGCCGCUGAAUCUGCCAUUUCAAGGUCAUCCAAUCAUAAAAUGCGAAACAAAGAAGAGGUAGAAGAGGGAGAAGAAGAAGAAGAUAAGAAAUUAUGAGGAAAGAGAGCAAAUAGUAUAGGCUAGGAUGACA